UAUAUAUAUAUAUAUUGCCCUAUUGCACUGGUUUGGUCUUCAUUAAAUUCAAAUCUUAUAAUCGUAUACAGUAGUCAUCGUAGCUCAUAUAACCUAAUUUUCCCGAUGGAAUUAAAUUUAAACCCGUAAUUAUUGCGAAGGAAGUAAAAAUAGAAAUUUGUCACAGUGAGUUAAAUAUACGCCAUUAUUAUAUUAAGUCUGCAUUAAAACAUUUUUUGGGAGUUGUUUGUUGGAUUUUUUAUAAAUUUUGAGCAUUGUGCAUGUAAUUGUUUCGUACAUUUUUUCAAUAAAGUUCAAUAACAGUUAUCUAUUUUGGUGCCAGAAAAAACACAUACUGAAUGUUUUCAUUGGUGUUAAUAUUUUCACUCGGUGAAAGAUGAUCGCCUCGUGGAACAGAAAAUUCCAUCUUUCACUUCAUGAAUAUACAUACUUUCAUCAUCAUGUACUUGGUACUUACUACUCAUAUAAAACAUUAUUCGUAUACGUAUAUAUUUACAACCUAUGAAGAUUCCAGAGGACUGUAUGUUGAUAGUUUUGACGAAUUAUAAGUUUUGAAGUUUAUUUUUCAGUGUGAAGCUCCUAACGUUAAGGUAGAGCGUUCAUGAUGUAAUAACUUUGUCACGUAUACGUGUUAGCGAUGUUACAAAGUUCAGUUGAAAAUUUUCCCACAAAACCGCAAGUUUAUUUCCUGGCGGUGUUAUAAUUACAUGAAUAAUGAGAUGCGCAGAACGCACUAUUUGGCCUAUACCUGCAUCGGUAAGCCGUUAUAAAUCAUUCAUCGUAUUACAAUAAAUUUCUUGUCUUGUUAGUAUGUGUUAGUGAUGUGGCAAAGUUGAAGGCUUGCAUCACAAGUAUUUAUAUAGUCGUAUAAAAUGACUAUGUUGAUUGUUGAGCAGCCCUGUGUCUGUGAUCAUACAGGUUUUAUAGUGUAAACCUACUUUAAGCUGUAAAGCAAAUAGUGCAAACUUUAAACCUUCAUAUAUAGACCUAUGGCUACGGGAAACUUACUGUUUUCCAUUCAUGUUCAUGCUUAGUUUCACUACUGAGAAUCAAAGUUUCAUAAAUUCAUAAAAUAUACAUGUAUUUAUAUAGGUUAACUUGUUCAGGAAAGUCAAUAUUGUUAUCAAUAUCAUAUUUUUAUUAUAUAUUAUAUAAUAUAUAUAAAUUUAAAAAGAAAUAAAAUCCAUGGCCUUUAACUUCUUUAUAAAAAUUAUCAUUUCAUGAAGUUUAAAUAUUUACAUCGGUCAAUUGAAGACUAGUUUUAAAAUGGAGCAUCUUUCAGUUUUCAUGUCAUUUGGUUGGCUAUUAAGAAUUUUAUAAAAUGCACAUGUUUUCACUUUAGUCACUUUAAAUGAACAGCGGAUCUUAGCAAAACUAAGUUCUUUUAUUAUUCCCUCGAAUAUUCCAAUGUGAUCUUUCAAUUAUAUUUAUUACUUUAGAGUGCCAUUUUUGCGGAUGGAAUAUACAGCGUAUAUAUACAAUAAAUAAACAUAAUAUCUGCACAUUGUGUGCGCGUGCAUGACAUGUACAGAUUUUGGUACAGAUGGCCUAUCGGGUGUUCAUUCUUGAUGACACUGAUUAUAUACUACCAUAUAUUACUCUAAGUUUUGGCCAUCUUUCUCGAUAGUUUAGGUGUCUUAUGGGAGGAUAUUUCGAAGAAAAGAGUACCUAGAUAUUUAAGAUUUUAAAACCGAUUUCUAAAAACGUAUCUACAUUUCAAUGCUCGACCAACAUUUCAUGCACCAAGUAAAAAUCUUUAAAAUAUUACAUAUCGUAUUAUAUAAUCUUGUCAGUGUAGUUAGUGCCAAUAUUAACAAAACUUCAGUUGGUGGGGAUGCAACUACGUGAAAAAUACAAGGAGAAAUACGACGUUUCGAGCAAACGUCCCGACGCAGGGUUGAAAGGAUCUAAUUCGCUCGAAACGUCGAAUUUCUCCUUGUCAAUUUGUCAGGUAAUUGCAUCCCUAUAUAUCAACCGAAAUUUAGUUAUGCCGCAUUAUGCACUAUUCUGGAUAGAUUGUACGUGUAUAUAUA